AUUGAACGCUGGCGGCAUGCUUUACACAUGCAAGUCGAACGGUAACAGGCCUUCGGGCGCUGACGAGUGGCGAACGGGUGAGUAAUGCAUCGGAACGUGCCCAGUCGUGGGGGAUAACUAUCCGAAAGGAUAGCUAAUACCGCAUACGAUCUGCGGAUGAAAGCGGGGGACCUUCGGGCCUCGCGCGAUUGGAGCGGCCGAUGUCAGAUUAGGUAGUUGGUGGGGUAAAGGCUCACCAAGCCAACGAUCUGUAGCUGGUCUGAGAGGACGACCAGCCACACUGGGACUGAGACACGGCCCAGACUCCUACGGGAGGCAGCAGUGGGGAAUUUUGGACAAUGGGCGCAAGCCUGAUCCAGCAAUGCCGCGUGCAGGAAGAAGGCCUUCGGGUUGUAAACUGCUUUUGUACGGAACGAAACGGCCCUGGUUAAUACCUGGGGCUAAUGACGGUACCGUAAGAAUAAGCACCGGCUAACUACGUGCCAGCAGCCGCCGUAAUAC
rnacentral:rRNA from 1 species